GAUGAACGCUGGCGGCGUGCCUAAUACAUGCAAGUCGAGCGAACAGACGAGGAGCUUGCUCCUCUGACGUUAGCGGCGGACGGGUGAGUAACACGUGGAUAACCUACCUAUAAGACUGGGAUAACUUCGGGAAACCGGAGCUAAUACCGGAUAAUAUAUUGAACCGCAUGGUUCAAUAGUGAAAGACGGUUUUGCUGUCACUUAUAGAUGGAUCCGCGCCGCAUUAGCUAGUUGGUAAGGUAACGGCUUACCAAGGCAACGAUGCGUAGCCGACCUGAGAGGGUGAUCGCCCACACUGGAACUGAGACACGGUCCAGACUCCUACGGGAGGCAGCAGUAGGGAAUCUUACGCAAUGGGCGAAAGCCUGACGGAGCAACGCCGCGUGAGUGAUGAAGGUCUUCGGAUCGUAAAACUCUGUUAUUAAGGAAGAACAAAUGUGUAAGUAACAAUGCACGUCUUGACGGUACCGAAUCAGAAAGCCACGGCUAACUACGUG
rnacentral:rRNA from 1 species